rnacentral:tRNA from 1 species
GACGCUAUGGUGUAGUGGCAGCACAUGGGAUUUUGAUUCCCACAACCCAGGUUCGAACCCUGGUAGUGUCU